rnacentral:hammerhead_ribozyme from 1 species
ACCCAGCUGACGGGUCCUAAACAGGACGGAACGCGCGUUCUGUAU